rnacentral:rRNA from 2 species
AGAGAUGGAUUUGUGCCUUCGGGAACUGUGAGACAGGUGCUGCAUGGCUGUCGUCAGCUCGUGUUGUGAAAUGUUGGGUUAAGUCCCGCAACGAGCGCAACCCUUAUCCUUUGUUGCCAGCGGUCCGGCCGGGAACUCAAAGGAGACUGCCAGUGAUAAACUGGAGGAAGGUGGGGAUGACGUCAAGUCAUCAUGGCCCUUACGACCAGGGCUACACACGUGCUACAAUGGCGCAUACAAAGAGAAGCGACCUCGCGAGAGCAAGCGGACCUCAUAAAGUGCGUCGUAGUCCGGAUUGGAGUCUGCAACUCGACUCCAUGAAGUCGGAAUCGCUAGUAAUCGUGGAUCAGAAUGCCACGGUGAAUACGUUCCCGGGCCUUGUACACACCGCCCGUCACACCAUGGGAGUGGGUUGCAAAAGAAGUAGGUAGCUUAACCUUCGGGAGGGCGCUUACCACUUUGUGAUUCAUGACUGGGGUGAAGUCGUAACAAGGUAACCGUAGGGGAACCUGC